rnacentral:rRNA from 1 species
UACGUAGGGGGCAAGCGUUGUCCGGAAUCAUUGGGCGUAAAGCGCGCGUAGGCGGCCCGGUAAGUCCGUUGUGAAAGUCAAAGGCUCAACCUUUGAACGCCGAUGGAUACUGCCGGGCUAGAGUCCGGAAGAGGCGAGUGGAAUUCCUGGUGUAGCGGUGGAAUGCGCAGAUAUCAGGAGGAACACCAAUAGCGAAGGCAGCUCGCUGGGACGUCACUGACGCUGAGACGCGAAAGCGUGGGGAGCAAACAGG